rnacentral:rRNA from 1 species
GACGAACGCUGGCGGCGUGCUUAACACAUGCAAGUCGAACGGAAAGGCCCUGCUUUUGUGGGGUGCUCGAGUGGCGAACGGGUGAUUAACAAGUGAGUAACCUGCCCUUGACUUUGGGAUAACUUCAGGAAACUGGGGCUAAUACCGGAUAGGAGCUCCUGCUGCAUGGUGGGGGUUGGAAAGUUUCGGCGGUUGGGGAUGGACUCGCGGCUUAUCAGCUUGUUGGUGGGGUAGUGGCUUACCAAGGCUUUGACGGGUAGCCGGCCUGAGAGGGUGACCGGCCACAUUGGGACUGAGAUACGGCCCAGACUCCUACGGGAGGCAGCAGUGGGGAAUAUUGAACAAUGGGCGGAAGCCUGAUGCAGCAACGCCGCGUGCGGGAUGACGGCCUUCGGGUUGUAAACCGCUUUCGCCUGUGACGAAGCGUGAGUGACGGUAAUGGGUAAAGAAGCACCGGCUAACUACGUG